GGGCCAGUGGCACAACGAAUAACGCGCCUGACAACGGAUCAGGAGAUUCCCUGUUCGAAUCCUGGCUGGCUUG